UUGAGACAAGGGGGAGUUCUGUGGACGGAUGGGUUCGAGUGAUAUGUGCCUAGUGGAUUUCGCUGUCCUGUUAAAUGGGGCAUUUUCGAUGGUCAUUGGAUUAUCCAAUCAAACGAAUCGAGCAUUACCUAUAGCAAAGUGAUUAAUUUGAAAGUUUGACUUUUCGUAACUGUCGAAUUACGGCUCGAGCGAUAAAUUGCUUUAGUUACACAGAAAGGCCCUUUUACGACCUUUGGCGCUCUCGCAUACGCGUAAUGUUUUCCGAACAAUUGAAAAUAAGCUUUCAUCAAUCAUUUCUCGAAACUUUUUUCAAUAUUGACAUAGCUGCACAAGCAUAGUUUCAGCCGAUGAGGAAAAGGGUGCCGAGCUUUAAGAAAACAGCUUCAAAAGCAUCGGUUCGGAUAUUGGCUUGAAUAGAUUCAAUGUUUGGAUUCUAGUUCGAAUGCCUUGGAACGUACGUCGUAUUCAUAAACGUUUCAUUUUAUACAAUGUCCGACCGAAACCGGACGUAUCUACUGCGCCGCGAAGGCUUUCAUCUACCAAAGAUGCGCAUCGUUGAAUAAGCCACUCGAGACAAGAUUCCAACCUCGGCUGAGCCUUGUUUAUUGCAUUGCGCGACGACAAGCUUAAAAACCUCGCAUAAGCAGCUUUCAGCGCGCAGCGCAGCUCGUAAAAGGCUAGAAACUUUUCUGCGCAGAUAAUAAUAAACCGAAAGCUUGUACUCCAUAUCUCACGGCAUUUGCGAAUCUGCAAAGUAAGGCAAUUAUGUUAGACACUAUAAAAAAGGCACUCGAAUCCUCAAAAAAAAAAAAAAAAAAAAUUAUUCAAAAACGACACUGACCCU